GAAUGGAUAGUGCAAUAUAUGCUGUAUAUAUACAUAACAAUCAUGCAACACUUGUUCUCUAACCCUGUAGGGCAAAAUAAAUGAAUAAAUAAAUUGUCCAAGGAUUCCCCAAAAAAAUUUCUUCUUUGGUGGGGGCCAAUUCGACAAGCCUGUGUUUGAGAGAUAAUGAGGUAAUCCUCACUAGAGAUGAUAAGUCUAAGAAGAUAGUGCUGCUAAAGGAGGGUCUAUGAUGAACAUCUUUAUGACUAUAUAACAGAUUCCAAAGCCAAGAUGUUACCUAAGGAUCCAACACAGGUCCUGGAUGCAGCGGUGACUAGGCUGCUUAAGAAUCAGGCCUUUCCUGACUUCCUCAAGGUUAGAAGGAUUCCCAACCUGGCGUCCCCCAGGAUUUUUGCCUAUGUGAAGACACAUAAGACACCAGUAGCAUUUAGACCUAUAGUAGAGAAGAUGAGACCUCCAACAUACAAUCUAGAAAAGAAAGUG
rnacentral:lncRNA from 1 species